GGAUGUGAGGGCGAUCUGGCCACAGCAUCUGUCACUGCAUUAAUUGCCAGCGUCGAUUCAGCUGAACCAGCUGGGCGGGUGAGCGUUGCCUUGCUCCUUCACUGCACCCCGUCUAUCUAUCCCUCCUCAAGCUGUGCACUUAGUGGAAGAGAAUGACCUUGCACAACAGAGGAAGUAUGGUCUUCAGUCAAAGAUGUCUCCCCUGAUGGAACCUUCAAACACAUCAUCAAAGCAAUAGGGCGUCAGGUGGAGAGCCACUACACCUCUGCUGCGUAUCUACAUGAUACCACUGGC
rnacentral:snRNA from 1 species